rnacentral:rRNA from 1 species
UACGUAGGGGGCAAGCGUUGUCCGGAAUUAUUGGGCGUAAAGAGCGUGUAGGCGGUCCGGUAAGUCGGCUGUGAAAGUCCAGGGCUCAACCCUGGGAUGCCGGUGGAUACUGUCGGGCUCGAGUCCGGAAGAGGCGAGUGGAAUUCCUGGUGUAGCGGUGAAAUGCGCAGAUGUCAGGAGGAACACCAAUGGCGAAGGCAGCUCGCUGGGACGUGACUGACGCUGAGACGCGAAAGCGUGGGGAGCAAACAGG